AUUGAACGCUGGCGGCAGGCCUAACACAUGCAAGUCGAGCGGAUGAAGGGAGCUUGCUCCUGGAUUCAGCGGCGGACGGGUGAGUAAUGCCUAGGAAUCUGCCUGGUAGUGGGGGAUAACGUCCGGAAACGGGCGCUAAUACCGCAUACGUCCUGAGGGAGAAAGUGGGGGAUCUUCGGACCUCACGCUAUCAGAGGAGCCUAGGUCGGAUUAACUAGUUGGUGGGGUAAAGGCCUACCAAGGCGACGAUCCGUAACUGGUCUGAGAGGAUGAUCCGUCACACUGGAACUGAGACACGGUCCAGGCUCCUACGGGAGGCAGCAGUGGGGAAUAUUGGGCAAUGGGCGAAAGCCUGAUCCAGCCAUGCCGCGUGUGUGAAGAAGGUCUUCGGAUUGUAAAGCACUUUAAGUUGGGAGGAAGGGCAGUAAGUUAAUACCUUGCUGUUUUGACGUUACCAACAGAAUAAGCACCGGCUAACUUCGUG
rnacentral:rRNA from 1 species